rnacentral:rRNA from 1 species
UACGUAGGGGGGCGAGCGUUGUCCGGAAUUAUUGGGCGUAAAGAGCUCGUAGGCGGUUUGUCGCGUCUGCUGUGAAAACCCGAGGCUCAACCUCGGGCCUGCAGUGGGUACGGGCAGACUAGAGUGCGGUAGGGGGAGAUUGGAAUUCCUGGUGUAGCGGUGGAAUGCGCAGAUAUCAGGAGGAACACCAAUGGCGAAGGCAGAUCUCUGGGCCGUAACUGACGCUGAGGAGCGAAAGCAUGGGGGAGCGAACAGG